GCCAGUGUGGCAUAGUGGUUUGAGUGUUGGACUAUGACUCUGGAGAUCAGGGUUCGAUUCCCUGCUUGGCCA
rnacentral:tRNA from 1 species